rnacentral:rRNA from 1 species
GACGAACCGUGCGAACGUUGUUCGGAAUCACUGGGCUUAAAGGGCGCGUAGGCGGGCUGCCAAGUCUGGGGUGAAAUCCCACGGCUCAACCGUGGAACGGCCUCAGAUACUGGCGGCCUCGAGGGAGGUAGGGGCGUGCGGAACUGUGCGUGGAGCGGUGAAAUGCGUUGAUAUGCACAGGAACUCCGGUGGCGAAGGCGGCGCGCUGGACCUCGUUCUGACGUGAGGCGCGAAAGCUA